rnacentral:lncRNA from 1 species
CCCUGGUAUUUGAGGGAACGUCAGGUCAAGGUAACCAAGUCUGCCUACCACAUGGAAUGAGCCUGGCCUUAGGGAACUACAUCCCCAGCCCCCACUGCCUUAGGAACUACAUCCCCAGCCCCCACUGCCUUAGGAACUACUUCCCCAGCCCCCACUGCCUUAGGAACUACUUCCCCAGCCUCCACUGCCUUAGGAACUACAUCCCCAGCCCCCACUGCCUUAGGAACUACUUCCCCAGCCUCCACUGCCUUAGGAACUACUUCCCCAGCCUCCACUGCCUUAGGAACUACUUCCCCAGCCUCCACUGCCUUAGGAACUACUUCCCCAGCCUCCACUGCCUUAGGAACUACUUCCCCAGCCCCCACUGCCUUAGGAACUACAUCCCCAGCCCCCACUGCCUUAGGAACUACAUCCCCAGCCCCCACUGCCUUAGGAACUACAUCCCCAGCCCCCACUGCCUUAGGAACUACAUCCCCAGCCCCCACUGCCUUAGGAACUACAUCCCCAGCCCCCACUGCCUUAGGAACUACAUCCCUAGCCUAGCCUCUGCUGCCUUCAGGAACUACUUCCUCUAGUCUCCGCUGCUAUUUGUUCUCUUUUGACCUCC